rfam:Schistosoma haematobium scaffold1870_11, whole genome shotgun sequence.
AGCCUUCUGUAUCUGUGCUGAGAUUUCGUCACACAUCAGACCACAAGGGCUGAUGAGACUUCCAAGAUAAGUGAAGCG